rnacentral:lncRNA from 1 species
CAUGUUGAUUCUACCCUCUGACCCUGCACUUAGCAUGUUUUGUUAACUAUCUCCUUAGGCUUUGCAUCUGUUGUUAGGUACUAUGGAAACAUGUAUGUUGAGAAUGAAAUGGUAUGCCAAGUAGAUGUGUGAUCAUGAGGGUAUAAAAUAAAGCUAAGCCUUGGCCAAGGGGGAGCAGUUUAUCCUGUGAAACAUGUGCUGCAGGUUGAAUAUGAAAGCUGUCUUCCAUUCAUCAUUAUUUUGCCUAAGUCCUCACACCUAGUCAGGAGGAACCUUCAGCUUCGCAAUCUGCAGGUCGGCUUGCAAAAAGGAAACAGAGGUUGGAUGAUUUCAGGAGGCGGGUCAGAGAUCUAAUCAAUUUUGAAACAGCAUCUGCAAAAAUAGAUUACGUUCAUCUGAAGGGCAACCCAGUCAUGGAGCAACAUGGAGUAAUUUUUAAGUGCAAAAGGGUCCCAAGAAGAAAAAAAGUUUGAGAACCACUACAUCCUGCCAUGUUGCCUCUCAAUAGUCGAGUUACAACCAAAUCCUGUGAUUUAUCUUUUUACAGAAUCACACAGCCAUUGAAACUCAAGGAGGAAGAAAUGAGACCAAGCACUUAUUAGGCAUCUGUUAUGUACCAAGCACUCUGGUUCAGUACUCUAUCCACUGUACCACCUAGCUGUCUCAGCUGGGUUUUCAGUUAGAAAAGAAUUUGGAGACUGUCUAGCCCAUUUCGUGCUUGAACAGAAACACAUUCUACAAAUGUCCUCAGUAAGUACUCAUACAUACAUUUUCAUCCUUUCAGGUGGGUUGG